rnacentral:rRNA from 1 species
UUAAGCAUAUCAAUAAGCGGAGGAAAAGAAACUAACAAGGAUUCCCCUAGUAACGGCGAGUGAAGCGGGAAGAGCUCAAGCUUAAAAUCUCCGUGCAAGUUUUGCGCGGCGAAUUGUAGUCUAUAGAGGCGUGGUCAGCGUGGGCGCUCGGGGCAAGUUCCUUGGAAGAGGACAGCAUGGAGGGUGAUACUCCCGUUCAUCCCUGAGUUGCUCGUGCGUACGACCCGUGUUCUUUGAGUCGCGUUGUUUGGGAAUGCAGCGCAAAGUAGGUGGUAAAUUCCAUCUAAAGCUAAAUAUUGGUGCGAGACCGAUAGCGAACAAGUACCGUGAGGGAAAGAUGAAAAGAACUUUGAAAAGAGAGUUAAAGAGUACCUGAAACUGCUGAAAGGGAACCGAAUCGUUUCCAGUGUCUAUAAUCCGUGGCAUAUUUCAUUGGCGAGUGUGUGCGUGCGUGUGCUGUGGCAGCGGCUUUUUUGGCUGCGCUCGGCGUGUGUGCUGUGUGUGCUUGCUGGUGCCCUGUGCUGCGGUGGGACGUCAAGGUCAGUUCGUAUGCUGCGGGAAAUGGCUGCCGAGGAGGUAGGGCUUACGCUCCGCGUUUGUCUAUUAUAUCUUGGUGGACGAGUCGUCGCGGUUGGGACUGAGGUGCCUACAACGUGCUUUUGAGUGGUCGUGUGUCUCCGUGUGCGCCGUGUGCGGAUAGCUUGCUAUGCGUGUGUGGUUGUGUGUGGAUUGAUGCGUGUCUUAACUUGUUGCCGUUCGG